rnacentral:rRNA from 1 species
GACGAACGCUGGCGGCGUGCUUAACACAUGCAAGUCGAACGGAAAGGCCUCUUUCGGGGGUACUCGAGUGGCGAACGGGUGAGUAACACGUGAGUAACCUGCCCUUGACUUUGGGAUAACUUCAGGAAACUGGGGCUAAUACCGGAUAGGAGCUCCUGCUGCAUGGUGGGGGUUGGAAAGUUUCGGCGGUUGGGGAUGGACUCGCGGCUUAUCAGCUUGUUGGUGGGGUAGUGGCUUACCAAGGCUUUGACGGGUAGCCGGCCUGAGAGGGUGACCGGCCACAUUGGGACUGAGAUACGGCCCAGUCUCCUACGGGAGGCAGCAGUGGGGAAUAUUGCACAAUGGGUGGAAGCCUGAUGCAGCAACGCCGUGUGCGGGAUGACGGCCUUCGGGUUGUAAACCGCUUUCGCUCAUGACGAAGCUUUGUGUGACGGUAGUGGGUAAAGAAGCACCGGCUAACUACGUG